GAGUUUGAUCCUGGCUCAGAACGAACGCUGGCGGCGUGCCUAACACAUGCAAGUCGAACGUGAUCCAGAGCUUGCUCUGGUGAAAGUGGCGCACGGGUGAGUAACGCGUGGAUAACCUACCCUGGUAUCCGGGAUUACAUUCCGAAAGGGUGCUAAUACCGGAUAAGCCCACGGGCUCUUUGGAGCUUGCGGGAAAAGGUGGCCUCUAUUUAUAAGCUACUGUAUCAGGAUGGGUCCGCGUACCAUUAGCUAGUUGGCGGUGUAACGGACCACCAAGGCGACGAUGGUUAGCUGGUCUGAGAGGAUGAUCAGCCACACUGGAASUGAGACACGGUCCAGACUCCUACGGGAGGCAGCAGUGGGGAAUUUUGCGCAAUGGGGGAAACCCUGACGCAGCAACGCCGCGUGAGUGAUGAAGGCCUUUGGGUCGUAAAGCUCUGUCAGAGGGGAAGAAAUGAUAUAGUGCUAAUACCACUUUAUCUUGACGGUACCCUCAAAGGAAGCACCGGCUAACUCCGUGCCAGCAGCCGCGGUAAUAC
rnacentral:rRNA from 1 species